GAUGAACGCCGGCGGUGUGCAUAAUACAUGCAAGUCGAACGCGUUGGCCCAACUGAUUGACGAUGCUUGCAUCCGAUUGACGUUGGAUUUCCAACGAGUGGGCGGACGGGUGAGUAACACGUAGGUAACCUGCCCAGAAGCGGGGGAUAACAUCUGGAAACAGGUGCUAAUACCGCAUAACAAUUCAAAUCGCAUGGUUUGAAUUUAAGAGAUGGCUCUGCUAUCACUUCUGGAUGGACCUGCGGCGCAUUAGCUUGUUGGUAGGGUAAUGGCCUACCAAGGCAGUGAUGCGUAGCCGAGUUGAGAGACUGAUCGGCCACAAUGGGACUGAGACACGGCCCAUACUCCUACGGGAGGCAGCAGUAGGGAAUCUUCCACAAUGGGCGCAAGCCUGAUGGAGCAACACCGCGUGAGUGAAGAAGGGUUUCGGCUCGUAAAGCUCUGUUGUUGAAGAAGAACGUGCAUGAGAGUAACUGUUCAUGCAGUGACGGUAUUCAACCAGAAAGUCACGGCUAACUACGUGCCAGCAGCCGCGGUAAUACGUAGGUGGCAAGCGUUAUCUGGAUUUAUUGGGCGUAAAGAGAGUGCAGGCGGUUUCUUAAGUCUGAUGUGAAAGCCUUCGGCUCAACCGAAGAAGUGCAUCGGAAACUGGGAGACUUGAGUACAGAAGAGGGCAGUGGAACUCCAUGUGUAGCGGUGGAAUGCGUAGAUAUAUGGAAGAACACCAGUGGCGAAGGCGGCUGCCUGGUCUGUAACUGACGCUGAGACUCGAAAGCAUGGGUAGCGAACAGG
rnacentral:rRNA from 1 species